rnacentral:rRNA from 1 species
UACGUAGGUGGCGAGCGUUGUCCGGAUUUACUGGGCGUAAAGAGCGCGCAGGCGGCUGGUCAAGUCCGAUGUGAAAGCUCCCGGCUUAACUGGGAAAUUGCAUCGGAAACUGAUCGGCUGGAAGGUGGGAGAGGGUAGCGGAAUUCCCGGUGUAGUGGUGAAAUGCGUAGAUAUCGGGAGGAACACCGGUGGCGAAGGCGGCCUGCUGGGCAGUAGCUGACACUGAUGCGCGACAGCGUGGGGAGCAAACAGG